AGAGUUUGAUCAUGGCUCAGGACGAACGCUGGCGGCGUGCCUAACACAUGCAAGUCGAGCGAUGAAACCCUUCGGGGUGGAUUAGCGGCGGACGGGUGAGUAACACGUGGGUAACCUGCCUCAAAGAGGGGAAUAGCCUCCCGAAAGGGAGAUUAAUACCGCAUAAUAUGUUUUGGUCGCAUGACCUUAACAUCAAAGGAUGUUCUUCGGAACUUCCACUUUGAGAUGGACCCGCGGCGCAUUAGCUAGUUGGUGAGGUAAAGGCCCACCAAGGCAACGAUGCGUAGCCGACCUGAGAGGGUGAUCGGCCACAUUGGAACUGAGACACGGUCCAGACUCCUACGGGAGGCAGCAGUGGGGAAUAUUGCGCAAUGGGGGAAACCCUGACGCAGCAACGCCGCGUGAAUGAUGAAGGCCUUCGGGUUGUAAAGUUCUGUCUUCUGGGACGAUAAUGACGGUACCAGAGGAGGAAGCCACGGCUAACUACGUGCCAGCAGCCGCGGUAAUACGUAGGUGGCAAGCGUUGUCCGGAUUUACUGGGCAAAGGAUGCGUAGGCGGACAUUUAAGUCAGAUGUGAAAUACCCGAGCUUAACUUGGGUGCUGCAUUUGAAACUGGGUGUCUAGAGUGCAGGAGAGGUAAGUGGAAUUCCUAGUGUAGCGGUGAAAUGCGUAGAGAUUAGGAAGAACACCAGUGGCGAAGGCGACUUACUGGACUGUAACUGACGCUGAGGCAUGAAAGCGUGGGGAGCAAACAGGAUUAGAUACCCUAGUAGUCC
rnacentral:rRNA from 1 species